rnacentral:rRNA from 1 species
UACGCAGGGGGCAAGCGUUGUCCGGAAUCAUUGGGCGUAAAGAGCGUGUAGGCGGCCCGAUAAGUCCGCUGUGAAAGUCCAGGGCUCAACCCUGGGAUGCCGGUGGAUACUGUCGGGCUCGAGUCCGGAAGAGGAGUGUGGAAUUCCUGGUGUAGCGGUGAAAUGCGCAGAUAUCAGGAGGAACACCAAUGGCGAAGGCAGCACUCUGGGACGUGACUGACGCUGAGACGCGAAAGCGUGGGGAGCGAACAGG